rnacentral:rRNA from 1 species
GACGAACGCUGGCGGCGUGCUUAACACAUGCAAGUCGAACGGAAAGGCCCUGCUUUUGUGGGGUGCUCGAGUGGCGAACGGGUGAGUAACACGUGAGUAACCUGCCCUUGACUUUGGGAUAACUUCAGGAAACUGGGCUAAUACCGGAUAGGGGCUCCUGCUGCAUGGUGGGGGUUGGAAAGUCUCGGCGGUUGGGGAUGGACUCGCGGCUUAUCAGCUUGUUGGUGGGGUAGUGGCUUACCAAGGCUUUGACGGGUAGCCGGCCUGAGAGGGUGACCGGCCACAUUGGGACUGAGAUACGGCCCAGACUCCUACGGGAGGCAGCAGUGGGGAAUAUUGCACAAUGGGCGGAAGCCUGAUGCAGCAACGCCGCGUGCGGGAUGACGGCCUUCGGGUUGUAAACCGCUUUCGCCUGUGACGAAGCGUGAGUGACGGUAAUGGGUAAAGAAGCACCGGCUAACUACGUG